CAUACAUAUUACAAUUGUUUGGUUGUAUUCGUGUUAUCUGUGUCUUGCUGAAGGUAGCGGAAAAUACACGACUACAAUAUUAGCAUUUCCUUCUAAUGAAUUCUUAAGAGUUGGCAUUAAUGUGUCUGUUAUAUACCACAGUAGCUCAUGUUAUGCAAUAAAAAUAACAUCGUUCUUAUGUUUGUGACCUCAGAUAUGGGUGGUAGAGAAGGAAGUGGUCACUCGAGUUUCCCUCAUGUUGCACUCAAUGAGUGUAUCCUUUCAUCAAUGUCGAAAAAGUAUAUUGCUGCGCUCAACCAUGGCAUGAUUUAGAAAUAGGACCUGGAGCAACUGCAGUUUUCAACUGCAGGUACUUCGUGAUCUCAAGAUCUCCACUUCAAGGAGGCCUUCGAGCCAUGCGAGAAUCUGAGGUAGUUUAUACAAUCUUAGCAA